GCUUUUGUCUGUUAAUGGUGCUUUGUGAUGAAUCAUGCAACUAUAUAUUUAGGAAAAUUUUGCAAUGAAAUGUUCAAAGUCCCAUGGGUGCCUGGUUCUACCUUUUCUUUUUAAUUAUUUUGAGUCAAUGUGGAUGAGUUAUUGUAUAAUUUGGGACUAGAUUUAUUCCUAAAUUAUUAAAACAUAGCCAAAUUCAGCUGGUUUAUCAGUCACAGAACAACAAAGUGAUGUCAUAAGUAGACUUCCUGACAAUAGAACUUAAGCAAGUGUUGUUACUUUUUGCUGUAUCUACUGCAAUCUACCUUGUACUGUUG
rnacentral:misc_RNA from 1 species